AUGGCCCUCCCCUGGCCCUGGUGGCUCACCCUCGCAGCCUCGCUGGUCCGCAGCACGAGGGUGUGCCGGGAGAGAUGUCGGGGUUGCUUGGCACGGUGGUUGAUGCAACAAUAGGAUGGCUGGUGCAAAGCAUCCUUGACAGCUUCUUUACUGGACGUAUGGAAGCCUGGACUCGUGAAAUCGGGCUUGCUGAAGAUGUGGAGAAGCUCAAAUUUCAGAUGAGGGACGUGCAGAUGGUUCUUGCUGCUGCCGAGGGAAGGAGGAUUGACAAUAUGCCUCUGGCCCUGUCACUGGAUGGUCUCAGAGAGCUACUUUAUGAUUCAGAGGACGUGAUGGAUGAGCUUGACUACUACCGACUUGAGCAAUAGAUCACAGAAGGGAAAGGUUGUAGUGCUCCUACUGGUACUAAUCUUGAGGGAAGCUAUGUGUCUUCAUCCACUCUAUCUUCUGUUGUUAAAUCAGUAUGCAGCGCCACAAGCCAAAUAACUGACUGGAUCUCACGUGGCAGAAAAAGGAAACGUGAAGAAGAGGGGCCUGCUCAUUGUAACAUGCUGCCUUUUGAGAUUAAAGAUAGCAUUUCCAAGAGGAUCAAUGUAAUAGUGAAUCUUCUAUGCAGUAGUAGCAAUUCUGUAAAGGGGGUUCUUCAGCUUGAGAACUUGCGCACCAUGGCAACAUCAAGUAAGAGUCAGAAUAUUGCCAGGGAUCAUCGCAUGACAACUUCUGUUCCGAUUGAGUAUAAGGUGUACGGAAGAGAUGCAGAGAGAGACGAGAUAAUAGAUCUGUUGAUAAAGGGGGGAUCUAGUGAUCUGAAUGUUCUGCCAGUGGUUGGCAGUGGUGGUAUUGGGAAGACGACGCUUGUUAGAUAUGUAUACCAUGCUAAAAGAAUUAAAGAUCAUUUUGAUUUGCUAAUAUGGGUCUGUGUAUCCACUAACUUCGAUGUAGUGGGGCUAACACUUCAGAUCCUAGAUCAUGUAUGUGAAGAUAGACCAUAUGAAAAAAAAAGCAGUUUGAAUAAAUUGCAGGAGAUACUUCAAGAAAAUAUUAGAAACAAAAGAUUUCUGCUUGUAAUGGAUGAUAUGUGGGAAGAGAAGGACAGGGGUGGAUGGAUUAAACUUUUGGCUCCAUUGAAAAGUAAUAAAGUAAAAAGGUUGCAUGGUACUAGCAACAACCAGAACAAAAUCAGUGGCAAAAAUGAUAGGAACUAUGGAUGAAAUCACAUUGAGUGGUCUGGAUGAGAAGGAGUUUUGGCUGUUUUUCAAGGCAUGUGCAUUUCGCAAUGACAACUGCGAGCACCAUCCUAGUUUGCAAUAUAUUGGGAAACAAAUUGCUAAAGCACUAAAAGGCUUCCCACUAGCUGCACAAAGUGUUGGUGCACUUCUGAGCACAGAAGUUAGCUAUCAGCAUUGGACGACAGUUCGGGACAAACGGAAAUCUCUUCAAGGAUAUGAUGAUGAUAUUUUACCCAUCUUGAAGCUCAGUUAUGAUUAUCUACCAGUCUACCUUCAGCGGUGUUUCUCAUACUGCUCUUUGUAUCCAGAGGACUACGGAUUUGAUGGGAAAGAAUUGGUCCAUGCCUGGAUAUCACAAAAUUUUGUGCAGUGCAAAGAUCCUACCAUAAGACUGGAGGAAACAGGGCAUGAAUAUUUGGAAAAAUUAGUGGAUUUGGGCUUCUUCCAAAAGGAUGGCUCACACUAUGUUAUGCAUGACCUAAUGCAUGUAUUGGCAGGGAUGGUUUCAUCAAAUGAGUGUGCUACUAUAGAUGGAUUGAAAUCCGGGGCAAUUCGAGCAAGUGUUCGGCAUUUGUCGAUCAUAAUUGCUGAUUAUGAUAAAGAUGAACAUGUCAGCAAUUCUAGUGAGAAGUUUGACAAAAUACUUCAGAAGGUGUCUUGGCACAAAUUGAGGACAUUGAUGUUGUUUGGGCGAAGCAGCAUACAUUUAUCAGGGCCAUUGCGUACUUUAUGCAAUGAGGCAAAAUGUUUACGGUUGCUAAGUGUGACAGGUGCUGACAUCAGCUCUAUAUACAAUUCGUCAAAUCUAUUCCAUCUUCGCUAUAUAUCAGCAUACAGAGUCAGCAACCCUGCGUUUCGUCAAGCUUUGACAAGAUGUUAUCACCUUCAAGUACUGGAUGUGGGCAUUUCGGGCAAUCUUGAUGUACCUACUGACAUGAAUAAUCUUGUGAAUCUGCGUCAUCUUAUUGCUCAUGAGAAAGUGCACCACGCAAUAGAUUGUGUCAGCAACAUGACCUCUCUUCAGGAAUUAAAAUUCAAGGUUCAAAAUGUUGGCAGUUUUGAGAUAGGACAACUUCAGUCCAUGAAUGAGCUUGUAUCACUAGGAGUUUCUCAACUUGAAAAUGUGAAGACUAAAGAAGAGGCGUGGGCAGCCAUGCUGACACACAAAGAGUAUCUAGAAACAAUGUUCUUGUCAUGGGAGAAUAGCAGCAUGAGCCUUCAACCUGAGGCUGCAGAGGAUGUGCUUGAUGGUCUUCAACCACAUCAGAACCUCAAAACUCUAGAAAUAACUGGAUAUGGUGGUGCUAUCUCCCCAACCUGGCUUUCCAGUGCCUUUUCAGUUACCUCACUGCAGAUACUUCAUCUGGAGGAGUGUAGGGAAUGGCAAAUUCUAUCUACUCAUGGAAUGCAUUCCCUUAGGAAGCUGACAUUGAUCAGGAUGUUGAAUUUAAUGGAACUCUCAGUUCCUUCCUUGGUAGAGUUGAUCCUGAUUGGCAUACCAAAAUUGAAAAAAUGUACCGGUUCUUAUGGAAUGGAUUUGACUUCCCAUUUAAGUGUUUUGAUGAUCAAGAACUGCCCUCAACUGAAUGAGCUCACUCUUUUCCAGAGUUACUCUUCUUUCGACGCUGAGCAGAAAUCCUGGUUUCCAUCUCUCAGCAAACUGUCCAUCGGGCAGUGUCCUCAUAUAAUCAACAACUGGCCAAUCCUUCCACUAAGAGAAAUGGGGGCACUCAAGGAGUUGGAGUUGAUGGAUCUGCAUGUUGUCAGAGUGUCAGUUCCUUCUCUGGAGAAGUUGGCGUUGACUAAAAUGCCAAUCCUGGAAUAUUGCAGCAGUCUAACGACUUUUCCACCUCUCCAAUCUUCACCUCCUGAAGGAGAUCAGAAUGAAUUGGUGUCUAAUCUCCGUAGACUCACCAUCCAUGAUUGCCCAUGUUUGAUAGUGUCACAUCCUCUUCCGCCUUCUGCUCUAAUUUCUGAGUUGUCCAUCAGUGGGGUUUCGACACUUCCAACAAUGAGGAUAAACUGGAGACGUUUCACUAUCGAAUCUAAUGAGUUGUGUAUGCUGGAUGAGAGUAUCUUGGCAUUUCAUAAUCUGAGGGGCAUAACAUUGUUUCGAAUAAGAAGCUGUCCAAAUCUGAUCUCUCUUUCAAGUGAAUCUUUCAGCCAGCUCAUUGCUUUAGAGACUUUAUCUAUACAUGAAUGCCCUAAUCUUACUAUGUCAAACAUUAUGCCAGAGGUUGUCCAGGAAAACAGCACAUCUACAAGCAGCCUUGUCCCCCCAUCUCUCAAACGUGUCAACAUUAGCACAUGUGGCGUAACUGGGAGGUGGCUAUCUCAACUGCUUUCACAUUCGCAGUCCCUUGAGGAGUUGCUGUUAACUGGCUGUCCGCAGAUAAAGUUUCUAUCAAUCAGUCAACCUAGAGAAACGGAAGGGACCAGCAGUUUGGUUUCAGCAGUGACGACCUCGGCCCAAGAUGAACAUGAAUUGAAACUGCCAUAUAAUCUCCUAUGUUCUCUCAAGGCGCUAUGCAUUCAGCAAAGCCUGGAUCUGAAGUUCAUUGGGGGUAAUACAGGCUCUACAAGAUUCAGCUCUCUUACGCAGCUUUUCCUUCAUGGUUGCCCCAAGCUACUCUCAUUGUUGGUGGGUGAAACAAAAGAUGAUGGUACCAUGGAUGUUGGAUUACUCCCACCAUCACUUGAAGACCUUAGUAUCGGUCCUCUCCCAGAAAACUUGCAGUCAUUCACUCCUGAAGGCCUUUUGUACCUCAAAAAGUUACGUCUAUCUUAUGGCCCAUGUUUGAAGUCUGUACAGCUGCAUUCCUGUACGGCCUUAGAGGAGCUGGAUAUCAUGGGGUGUGUCCAGCUGACUGUACUGGAGGGCUUGCAGUUUCUCAGCUCCCUUCGAAGCUUGAAGAUGGAGAUGAAUUCCGAGCUGUCUUGUGCAUGGGAUCUCAAACUGCAGGAACAAGAGCAGGGUGGGAAUCAAAUUCAGUUAUUUCCUCGGUCACUUGAUAAACUUGAGAUCACGGCCGUCACGGACAGGGUCCAAUCCCGUCUUCUGUCCUGCCUUCCUGCCAUGACCAAAUUAGCAGUACAGAGAAGUCCGGAACUGACGUCUCUACAGUUGGCAUGCUGCACGGCACUGAAAGAGUUGGAAAUUGGAGACUGCGACUUGCUUGCGUCGAUCGAGGGCCUCCAGUUCUGUAGAAACCUGACAUCCUUGAAAGUAUUUAACUCCCCCGGCCUACCUUCCUGUUUUCAACUUUUGUCCGACCAGCAAGGUGUCUGUGAAGUAUGGUCUGGAUUGAAAACUCUUGUGGCUAGUGACGCAUCUAUCCUGUCCAGGCCGUUCUGCAAACAGCUGACUUCCCUAAGACGUCUACAGUUUGGCUCUGCGUAUAGUGCAAGCUUGGUGAACCUAACAGACGAACAAGAGAGAGCUUUACAGCUUCUAACCUCACUCCAAGAACUUCAAUUCCUGAGAUGCCCGAAUCUCUUAUCACUUCCUGCAAUCCUAUAUAGCCUGACCUCCCUCGGAACAUUAUCUAUCGUACAUUGUAGGAGCAUCACAAGGUUGCCAGACAUGGGCUUUGCACCUUCGCUCAGUCACCUUGAGGGGCAUUGUGACCAGUUGCUCAUCGCCAUGAGCUUCCGCUAUAGCAAGCCUUACCAUGGUGUGUAUUGGCAGUUGGGCCAUGCCCAUGAAAAACUGAAGAAGCGCAGUGGGUGACACUCAACCCGUGUUACCCAUCAAGGUUGGGUCAUCACUAAAUUUGAAGUUCCUGGAGAUGCUCUCAUCGAGCUCGGCAAAGAGAGCUUUCUGGCCGCCCAUUUAGUUUGAGGCACCUGUGUUCAGAACUUCAGAUACUAGGCCUCGUAGAAAGCUUUGUAUAAGAUGAUAGGAAAAGAAGCCACCCUGUUUGUAUUCUACUGUAUAACGAGGCAACAAAUAUUUCCAAAGCCGAAGUGCUACCAUUUGUGGAACAGAGGGAGACCACACCCGGAUUAAAGAUGGAAAGUAGAAAUACAGUAGAAUGACGACACCACUCAGUAAGAAUUGAAUUUGUACUUUGCUA